AUUGCUAAAUAAAUUCCAUACCGUAUAACCUCAAUGAUAUGGUUUGAGGGUCUCUACCAGGAACCGUAAAAUCCUGAUUACGAAGAAAGCGUGUAUUCUG
rnacentral:ncRNA from 1 species